CAGUAGCCGCGGGAAUACGUAGGUCCCGAGCGUUGCCCGGAAUUAUUGGGCGUAAAGCGCGCGCAGGUGGUUUAAUAAGUCUGAUGUGAAAGCCCACGGCUCAACCGUGGAGGGCCAUUGGAAACUGUUAAACUUGAGUGCAGGAGAGAAAAGUGGAAUUCCUAGUGUAGCGGUGAAAUGCGUAGAGAUUAGGAGGAACGCCAGUGGCGAAGGCGACUUUCUGGACGAAAACUGACGCUGAGGCUCGAAAGCGUGGGGAGCAAACAGGAUUAGAUACCCGAGUAGUCCCUGUCUCUUAUAC
rnacentral:rRNA from 1 species